rnacentral:snRNA from 1 species
AGAUGUGAGGGCGAUCUGGCUGCGACAUCUGUCACCCCAUUGAUCUCCAGGGUUGAUUCGGCUGAUCUGGGUGGCUAGGCAGGUGUCCCCUUCCUCCCUCACUACUCCAUGUGCAUCCUUCCCGAAGCUGCGCCCUCGGUCAAAGAGGACGGCCUUCCCCGAAUAGAGACAGACCGGUCUUCGGUUGAGGGUAUCUGAGUAGCUGCUCUUCCCUGCUAGAACCUCCAAACCAGCUCUCGAGGACUAUGGGGGCAGUGCUUGGGACUUGAAGGGGAAGUGGAAGGUUCUCACAUGACCAGGAGAGAGGGAGACUUACCUGAUGGUCUUCAGCUGGCAUUUCUCUGG